CUCAGAGUCUGAUGGUAAGAGCGUAAGAGCACUUCGUAGUCUGUGGCUAAGGGUUCGAUGUGUUUUAUUAGCGCCAAAAGCCCAAAAGUGAAAACUGAAAUAGAUUCUCUGGUUCAAUUGACUUAAGUAUGUGGCUUCCCAGAUCCAGGUCAGUCAAGUUAUGUGAGAACUCCAUUGACGGCACCUCUGUACAUGUGGCUGAUAAUGAAGCUUAAGCCUACCAGCAAAAGAGAAAUUUCCAGUUCAGUCGACUUAGAGAUGGUGCCCAGACUGUCCUCAAGUUCCGGUGUCCAAACUCAAUUGACGACAGCAUAUAGAUGGACUGAUGAAGGCUACCAGCAAAUGAGUAAGUCAGCCUUUUAUAUAUUAACUCUAUAGCAAUUAAGUGUUUUGUAAUAUUUUCUAAAAAUGAGGCUAGAGACUCAAAUCGUAAGUGAGUUAAGUGUUCCGGGUAAUAAAUUCGGUUAGAGAUUAACAUUUAAAAAAAAAACUCAGAAAUAGUCAAAUAGGUUA